GAGGCGCGGGCCAACCUGGUAAAUGAGCCCCUAGCACCGGGCUGAAUGGGAGGAACUUGAGUUGCAGCGAAGGCGGAGCGUCAGCAGAGCAUGAUAGGAAUUAUGAUCAUUUCCGUUUUCAAGGAGAGGCAGCUUUAAACGUAUCCUAGGUGCCAUUAAGUAGACAGCUCCCUGCUGUCAAUGGGAUGAAGUUACUCCUUCCAAAUUAUUUAUCGCGCAUUUCCAAUGUGCCAAGCAUUUGUCAGAUAUUGAAGACACAAUAAUCCUUAUAAUUAACACCUUUUGGGAGUUUCUGCCCAGCUCACUAUGUCUCUGCUUCUCUGGGAAUUGUUGGUCUUCCAGCCAUGUUUGUACCACAUCCGCCAUCUGGCCCCCACCUCCCUUCAGAGUUCAUUGCAGCAGAGGUAGACACAGGAUGAUUCUUUCCUCUAAGCUUUGGACUUUUGAGUUGAUGCUCAUGCCUUGGGGCACAAAGAUGAUGGAGCAUCACGAAAGAUUCAAGAUCAGGACUCUCAAAAAGGCAGAGAAUAUUCUCAGACACAGCAAGGCAAUGAAGCCCAUGACACUUAACCAAGACCACAGCGAUUCAGAUCAAUCCACCUUCAUCAUUUGACUUGCAGCUCAGUUGAGGAGAGCACAUGCUCCCCACAAUGGGAACCACAUGCCUUGGCUUUGACAAGAGACUGUGUGAAGACAUGUUGGCAAAUUAAAUCUUAACAGCAUUAUUUCUUCCCAGGACUUAGAAUGCACCCCAGCCAGAAUAGCCACAGCAUCCUUUUCACCCUGUGUUAGGACUGAAAUCUACCUCUGGAAUGCCCAUUUUCAAAAGAGACACCAGCAAUUUUCUACAAGCCAAGUAGCCAAAUGGCCAAUUCAUCAAAUGGCCAAUCUGCAGACUAAUGGAUUUUCUGAAUGAACACUUUAUUAACAUUACCAACUUCUAAGAUCUAUAGAAAUCUCUGUUAGAUAGAAUAGUU